rnacentral:lncRNA from 12 species
CCGCAUGACAGCCCCCUUCUGAACAAUAUCCCGUCGGGAGGGACCACGACUUAUUUAUGCAUCCCCUGCCGAAGGCGUCUUGGUUGCCUCCACGGUUUGUCGACUAUGCUGUAGACAUCCGUGUGCAGGUGCUCACACGGGCACAGGGGGUCCGCCUCCUUGGGUAAAUGCCAAGGAGCGUGGCCGCGGCAUCGCACGGUAAGAGGACAUUUAGCUCCGGAAGAAAUGGCCAGCCUGUCCUCUGGGUGCCCGCUCGGCAUCCCCACAGCAGUGAGUGCUCCUGCCCCUCUGCGUUCUCGCCAGCCUGGGGCGUCCUCGGGGUUCUGGGUCUGGGCCCUUUCGGUCUGUGUGUGGUGGCGUCAUUGUUGUUUUAACUUGCAUUUCCCCAAUAACACGUAAUUGGGAAUCUUUUCAUAUGCUUGCUUGUCAUCCCUACACCUUCUCCGGUGGGGUGUCUGUUAAAUCUUUGGCCCAUUUUCCAAUCCGUUUAUCUGUUUUCUUAUUGUUGAAUUUUAAGAGUUCUUUGCAUAUUUUAGAGACCAGUCCUUCAUGAGAUGAGUCUUUCCCAAAUGUUUUCUCCCAGUCUAUGGCUUGUCUGUUUAUUCUCUUGAGUGUCUUUUGCAAAGCAGAAUCAAGAAAAAAAAAAUCACAGUUCAACAUUUAGUUCAUUAAUGCCAGAUGCCUGGAGGAGGCCGGAACAUGAGUCCACCUUGCCUCGUGUACGUAAAAGACGUCUGAGCCGCUCUGACGACCAAGGGGCCGGGUCGCUGCCUGCUGCGUGGACUCUCCUUGCCCACUGUCGCUCCGCCCAGAGGGGAAACCAGACUGCAGUCUGCAGGUGUCCUUCUGCGUCCACGGGCAGCCGGGCUUGGGGCCGGGAGGCAAAGUGGGGCUAAGGCAGCUGCUGGAGAAGGAGGCCGGGCGGAUCACCCGACACUUCCUGCCCAUCCCAGGACCAUGCUUGCAGCCGUGCCUGGAACAUCCUGUGGCUUCCAAGUGCGGCUCUGUCCUCAUUAGACAGGAUAGAAUCAAUUUUCUCUGCUGGGCGUCUGUGAUGCCUGAUUUAUUUUGAAGGGAGGAAGAACGUUAUUCAAUUUUCGGGGGCUUAGCGUGAAGGGCAAAUUAAAUCGUGAGGUGGACAUGUCCGCUGCUGCGUGUUCUUCCCCAGGAUCCCAGAGACCACGCCGCCUUUACCAGUCAUUAGAGAUCACUUUCAAUUAUGUUGAAAAGAAAAAUACCGUUCUAACAACUAUAAACGGCUUAUAUUGUAGCUCCCGACCUUUUAAAAGGUGGUUUAUUUCAUACAAAGCGCUGGCUUCCCGCACCCCCCCCCGCUCUGCG